rnacentral:misc_RNA from 1 species
AAGUCGUAACAAGGUUUCCGUAGGUGAACCUGCGGAAGGAUCAUUACCAAUUGGGCGAGAAAUCGCUCUGUACCUGUUCGGCGGUCCUCACGGGCCGCUGACCGGUCAACCCUCUGUGAACCAAAAAACCCUUUCGCUUCGGCAGCUGGGCCUGACCGCCUGUCAGCCUGCCGUUAGCACCAAACAUCAAAACCUGUUGUAUAACGAAUGUCUGAUAACCAAAAUUUUCGAAUGAAAAUCAAAACUUUCAACAACGGAUCUCUUGGUUCCCA